AGGGAUUUAGCUCAGUGGCACAGCGCCUGCCUCGCAAGCAUGAGGUCCUGAGUUCAAUCCCUG
rnacentral:tRNA from 1 species